rnacentral:lncRNA from 1 species
UUUUUUAAUUUUCAUUUAUGUUCUAAAAGAAAUGCACUACGAAAUAAUUGUGUUCUCGGACUAAUAGCGGAAUUGUUAAGUAUUGAGUCACGUUACAUGUAACAAAGAAAGUUGAGGUACCACGGACAAAGCAAAUAUGCAAAAUAUCGCAAACAACACAGCAAUGACGGGAUGUAUAAGUACAGAGACACGUCAGUGAUAUUUUUGUAAAGAAGACGAUAGAAUAAUAAUAGCGCUCCCGACG